rnacentral:rRNA from 1 species
UACAGAGGGGGCAAGCGUUAUUCGGAAUUAUUGGGCGUAAAGGGCGCGUAGGCGGCUUGGCAAGUGGAAGGUGAAAUCCCUCGGCUUAACCGAGGAACUGCCCUCCAAACUGCUUGGCUUGAGACCGGGAGAGGUGAGUGGAAUUCCCAGUGUAGCGGUGAAAUGCGUAGAUAUUGGGAGGAACACCAGUGGCGAAGGCGGCUCACUGGACCGGUACUGACGCUGAGGAGCGAAAGCGUGGGGAGCGAACAGG